rnacentral:rRNA from 1 species
UACGGAGGGUGCAAACGUUGCUCGGAAUCAUUGGGCGUAAAGCGCACGUAGGCGGCUCGUUAAGUCGGAUGUGAAAAGCCCUGGGCUCAACCCAGGAAGAUGCAUACGAAACUGGCGAGCUUGAGUAUGGAAGAGGGUCGCGGAAUUCCCGUGUAGAGGUGAAAUUCGUAGAUAUCGGGAGGAACACCAGUGGCGAAGGCGGCGACCUGGGCCAAUACUGACGCUGAGGUGCGAAAGCGUGGGGAGCAAACAGG